AUUUUAUUAGUAUAUAAGUAUAUCUAACUUCCAAUUAGAUGGUUUGAUUAUCAAAUAAAAUA
rnacentral:tRNA from 1 species